GGGUUAGUCGGGACCUAAGCUGAGGCCGCUAGCCUUCGGUGAUGGACAACAGCCUGAUAUUCCUGUACUACCGAUAACCAUUUGACAGAUGUGAUGACACCGUAGGAUCAGCUAAGCACACUUUUGGUUAUGUGUGCCCAAGCAUUGAGGCAGUCAAACUACGCAAAUCCCCCUUGAUAAUGCUGAGAUGUUAUGGCGAGCGACAUUUAGUACCGAUAUAACUGAUUUCACACUGUCAAGAAAAGUCUAUAUCGAGGUUAAAGGUACCCGUACCGCAAACCGACACAGGUGGGUGAGGAGAGUAUCCUAGGGCCAGCGAGAGAGCUGUUGUUAAGGAACUCGGCAAAAUGACCCCGUAACUUGGGGAUAAGGGGUGCCGCCAUCCGGUGGGCGCAGAGAAUAGGCUCAAGCGACUGUUUACCAAAACCAUAGGUUUCUGCUAAGUCGCAAGACGAUGUAUAGGGGCUGACGCCUGCCCGGUGCUGGAAGGUUAAGGGGAU
rnacentral:rRNA from 1 species